GAGAGAUUAAUUGAAUGGUUACAAUGGCCAUCUUACACGUGGCUCGUAGAGGUUCAAAUCCUCUAUCUCUUA
rfam:Serendipita vermifera MAFF 305830 unplaced genomic scaffold scaffold_150, whole genome shotgun sequence.